AUAAAUCUCUCCCCUUGCUUCUUCAGCACUGACUGGGAGCAGGGUGAGCACGGCCGAUGGCAGGGCCUGGCCCUCAGAUCCCCCGGCCUCCCGGGGCCCUGAGCCAGCACAGAGCAACCCAGGCAGCCCUGUGAGCCUCCUCUGCUAUUAAAUCCAUAAUUCAGGGAGACUCUACAGAGUCAGGUGCACUCGGUCCCCAUGAUGAGGAAAGAGCCAUCCAUCCAAGAAUUGCAAGAAAGGCUGAGGUAAGGGCUGAUGCCGGCCACAUUCAGGUCUCAGUUUUCAGGGGCUGCAUUUAAAUCUGAAGAGUCCCAGGCACUGCUCCCAGGGAAUCAUGGAGCCUGACUGCUCACAAGGUGACCACGGAGGAUUCUGCAAGGGCCGAAGCAGCCUAGAAACAAGUAAGACAACAAAGGAACAGGGGAUGCCUGGGGGAAACACUGGGCCUGUCUGCAUGCUCUCAGCUAUACCCAGGAUAUGGAGCAUGAAUGCUACUCUGGACUCUGGGUGCAGCCAGAGAGGCUCAGGACCUUCCAGACCACUUGGGUGUGGUACUUGCAGCUCUGAGCCUCCAGAAAGACACUUGUCCCCAUGGAAAAGGAUGACUUGAACAGCUGACAUCUUGGAGGGUCCAGGUAAAGCAGCAGAAGCUUCAAGAUGGGCAGAGGCUCAACUGGCAUCUCUCAUGUGGGCAGAGCUUGGAUUCGCACCUAAGACCAUCUUCAACGGAGUCUACCAGUACAUGUACCCUGUGGCUCACCACCUUCCCAGAAACAAUGGAGCCAGGCAACCAUGAACUGCAACACCUGAAACUGAGCUAUGCUGGUCCACCUUUCCCCGGGAGACACAUACUCCUUCACUCUCUGUCCAGCAUCCUUGACCAGGCCCUAGGCAUCAGCUAUCCUCGGAUUACUCAAUAUGCAGAAGGACCAGCCCCACAUGGCCACCAUAAAUCCUGCCCCUGUCCUACACCCAAUCAAUCUUCAAUCAGCUCCAA